UUUUAGGGGAAGGUGUGGUGUAAAGGAUGUUCCGCCUAUUAAUUUACUUUUAUUAUGUUGGUGUAUAUCUGGUUUAAUAUUAUUGUUGAAUAAUAUUAGUUUGUGUAAUUUUAUUAGUUAAGCCAAGUCUAUGUGCUGCUUAUAGAAGUAUUCAUGCGUUACUUUAAUAAAGUUUUAGUUGUAAGUACUAUCAUAUUCAGGACUUAAAAGUAAUGUUAAAUUAGUUUGUUAAUGUGAAAUAAGUUUAGCUCAUG
rnacentral:rRNA from 1 species